GCAUUAAUGAUGUUAUGCCUCCUAUAGCUAAAGGUAUAUAUAUAGUAGAGCUUAUAGGAGUGCCAAUAAUAAGGAUAGGCAUACUUGUAAUGCAUGUAUUGUAAAGUCAACUAAUGGAUCCAUAGAGAAUCGAGGCAUACAAUCAAACCAAGAUGUGCAUGUGUAUGAAAUAUGGUGGAUAGGUGCAUUUUUGGUAUUUGUGGCUAAUUUCUAUUUUUUGGGAAUAGCUCUCUAUUGAAGCUUUUCAAGAAAGGCAUGGGCUAUCUUUAGUAUUUAUUUAUAUUCAGGGAGGCGGGCAUCUAGUACCCAUUGUUUUAAUUACUGGGACACUUGUCAUCUUUUACUCCCUCUUCUCUCUUCUUCUCUCUUUUUUUCUUCUCUUUUUUUAAUAGCUUUUUGCAUAGCCACAUGCAUCCUUUAAGUACAAUAAAUGAAUCAAGAGAUAUAAUCAGGACUUAGAGCAUUAAAGACAGGGGUUAUCCUAUAGGGAGAACAUGAGUGAUGAACAUGGAAUGGAAAUGAUUGCGAUUACUCCUAGUGUGGGAAUAAUGCAUAUGUGAACUGGAGUGUGUACGUGAUAUUGGUUUUAAAAGCAUGACAAGACUCUCAUAAGGUAUACAACAAAGGUUGACUGAACUCAAUGCAAAGCAAGCAGCAUAAAUGUAUGAAAGUUUUCCUAACUCUAAAUGGAUAUUAUAUAUGGCUUUGGUAGGAAAUCAAUCUUUGUCAACAAGAGCUCAUCAUGUAGGA
rnacentral:lncRNA from 1 species